UACGUAGGGUGCGAGCGUUGUCCGGAAUUACUGGGCGUAAAGAGCUCGUAGGCGGCUUGUUGCGUCGACUGUGAAAACCCGCGGCUUAACCGCGGGCUUGCAGUUGAUACGGGCAGGCUAGAGUUCGGUAGGGGAGACUGGAAUUCCUGGUGUAGCGGUGAAAUGCGCAGAUAUCAGGAGGAACACCGGUGGCGAAGGCGGGUCUCUGGGCCGAUACUGACGCUGAGGAGCGAAAGCGUGGGGAGCGAACAGG
rnacentral:rRNA from 1 species